CUGAAUUGGAGCUACAGCAGCUGACCUACACCACAGCCACAGCAACCCAUUUCUGAGCCGCAUGUAUGACCUACACCACAGCUCACAGCAACACUGGAUCCUUAACCCACUGAGCGGGGCCAGGGAUCGGACCCAGGUCCUCAUGGAUACAACUCAGGUUUGUUAACAGCUGAGCCAAAGCUGGCAAGGUGUGUGUGUGUGACAUGGAAAGAGUUAUACUGAUGAGCUAGUUUGAGUCUGUUCCUUUGCUCCUGCAAGCGUAGAGUAUGGAAGCAGUGUGUGAAAAAAAAAAAUGUUUGUUUCUUAACCGGAGAAAACGUAGCUGGGGAGAAAUUAUGUCAAUUAUUAGUGUUGGUAAUUUUCUCAAAAAUGUGUUUUAAAAAAAUGUACGUGGCAGAAAAUGUGUGCAUAUAAAUAAAACAUGUGCAAUAAAUUUGCAAAUACCCAUUUAAGAUCUCCAUCAUCAACCUCUCUUAAUUGUGCAGUGUUGUGUUGCAACCACGUUUCAGUCUAACCAAGAGACCAAGCCAUAAAUCAGGCAUAGCUUAAUCAACAAAAUCUUGGCUUAACCAGGGAUUUGCAGUUCAAUAGACUGUUCUAAAUUAUAGUACAACAGCACAAAUUUAAUGAUUCCAUAAAAAAAAAUUUAAGGGCAUUUUUAAUGACCACUUGAUAGAAGUUUCAGUUGACUCACUGAAGAAGUAGCCUGGAGGUUUAUAAUCUCUAAAUAAUCCUUGUUGAUCUUUAUUUUCUAUUUUCUGUAAAUGAUCUUGGAAACUGUAUUUUCAUGUCGUUUUCUGUGGAAAAGCUCAGAUACUUCACCUGCAUUAUAUAAAUGUUAAUGUCAGUAGCUUUUAUACCAGCUACAGAGAGACUUUUUUUAAGAGUGACUUUCUCAAGGUCAUAGAGCAAAUCUCUAGUGAGACAGGAAUGGAAUUCAUGACCUUUGACUGCCAGAAGUUUUCUACCCACACUCGGAAAUUCCUUCUCCAUAAGUGUAAUUUAUAUGCUCACUUUGAGAGGCUGGAAAGUUCAUCCCUUUUAGGGCAGGGGGUGGGGGAUGGGGCUUGGUUUUCCUGCCAAAUCAAUUGCCACACCGGCACUGCAGAGUCUCACAAAGUGAUUUUUACCUAUGUUAUUUCAUCGUACCCUCACCACAACCCUGGAAACUGCAUAUUAUUUUUCCCAUUUUACAGACAUAGAGGAGUUAAGAAAUUGAACCAAGGUCAUCCAGAGUUAGUAAGCAAGAGAGCCUGACUCAAACGGCGCUAUCUCUGCCACUUAAAUCAGUGCUGAUUCCAGGAUGUACAAUCUUAGCAGAUACCCGAUUACGAAAUGAAUGAAGGUUUUCUUUACAGAUAUUUAUGCCAUUUUUUUACAAUCAUUUACCUUGGUUCUCAUUUAGGUCUGUGGGUUUGUUUUCUUUGGGGAACGGUUGAUUUCAGGUUUUGUUAGAAGUUUGCUUGUGAAACUAAAGUGGGAACACUACUACUAAAUAAAGAACUUGAAAAAAAAAAAAACAAAACAAACAAACUUUGCCUGUUUUCCUCCUUUUUUAUUCAAGUGGGUAGGGGGCUCUUUACCAUAAUUCAUGGUCAUCAUGUGAACGGUGUAGGUAUGGGGUGUAUACCAAUAUAACUAGAGAAUACAAAAACUCACAUUCAUAAAUACAAAAUAUUAUGUAAUAUAAUAAAUAUAAAUACUAUGCAUAUACACACAUCUAAAAUAGAGAAUAUAUUUAUAUAUGUAGUAUAUACAGAUAUAUCACGCCAGCAAUCAUUGCGAAAAGCCAUAUACACCGUUAAGCAUGGUGAAUGAAGCACAGGAAACACAAUCCCUGGAUGUGGAGGCCAGCAAAGCUGUAAUAGCGGCAGCUUCUAGUGCCUCUGAUGGGGGUGGGAAAUCUAUCCCAAAGCUCUGCAAUUUUUUUCCCCUCAUCUUCCACAUAGCAACACAGCAGCAAGGGCUUUCCGCUGCUGCAUCUGUCACUAAAAAGCAACACUGUUUGGACCCGUCCAAUUAUUACGCCUGUAAUAAAUAUUCAAAACUAUUACCAUCAAAUUCAGCAACAAAAUAAAAGUUAACUUUGAGAUGAAAAAAAAAAAAAAAAAAGACAGGAAGAUAGACCAUCCCAGAGCAGAAUUCUUUGAGCAACUAUCCUGUAAUCUGCUGCCAGACCAAAACAAAUUUUUAUGGAGCAACAGGACUACUCAAGUAGCCACUUUUAUGACAAUAAACACCCAAAGCCGAAAAAUCCUUUUGUAACAUAAUUACUGAGAAUAUAUAAAGAAAGUAACCAUUUAAUCCACAGCAUGUGUUCCCUACCUCAAGAACUCAAAAGCUGACAUCAGAUGGGGUGUGGCUGCCGUAGGCCCGCCCCGACAGUGAAUUCUGGCCAGUUGAAGUCACACAGUUCUCCAGAAGGGCCUGGGAUCUAGAAUCACUCACAAAGCAGGUCUCACAAAGCCUAAGGCUGCUGCCCUUCUGGGCACAGGGCAAGGCCCAUCUGUUUACUUAGAUUUUGAUUCUGAGAGCCCUAGUUGUGGUGGAUGAGUUAAGGCUGUGGUUAUUGGGUGUUGCCAGUGAUUUAAUUGCAAUACUUUCACCCUUACAUUGUGCACAUACUUAAGACUGAAAGGCGUACACAAUUUGGACUCUGAAAAAAUAAAUACACAUGAAUUUUAAAUGGAAAAUGAACACUGGGCAAAAAUACAGAUUAUUUCCACUCUGGGACCAUAUGGUAUUUUCCAAAUGGAAAUGAUAAAGGUAAGCGACUGCAAUCUAUUUUAGGAAUUGUUUACAAAAAUGAAAGUUGUUUUGUACAAGGAAAACAUAACCGUGCUGUCGAUUCAGAAUAAAACUCUUUGGGGAUUUUUAGCUCUUGUUCAUGAAUCAACAUGGAAGCAUAAGGAAAUUUAUUUAGUCAAAAAAGGCAUAACUUUUUCAAAUGAGUUUGUGCCGUUUCUAGUUCUGCAGAAUACAAACUACGUUGUAUUAAUACACAAAUCAUCUACAGCUCGUUUGGUGACGUUGACACUAAAGGGUUUGUCACUCUCACAAUAUAGAUAACAAACCAUUGGACGCCCCCCCUCCCCGAUUUAAAGUGAUUCGUCUCAUGUUAAUUCAUAGAAACAUGAAAUGCCACACUUUCCAUUCUGUAUCGUGGUGAAAACAUCCAAGACGUUUCUAUAUUCAACUAGUUGACAGCAUCACCUCACUGGUCAAGUUACUCAACACUCUAGAUGAACCCACACUGGCUUGGUUCAAAAUGCCGUCAUAAAGGCCUAGAGGCCUAAGCACUUAUGUCAUCUUUGCUCGGAGAGAAAACACACCUAUAUUUAAGACCAAAUUAUUUCACUAAGUUGCUAACAGCCGGCUUCGUGCUAUAACAUCUAAAACUCACUCUAAGUCUGCUGAAGUGCAUGUGUGUUUACCUUGCACAGAAGGCUGGGAAGUAAUCCCCGAGGAACAUAUAUUUUUUUUUUAAAUGACCAGAACGCUAACGCUAUUACAUGCCUGAUGGGUGCUCUUCAGAAUGAACAGAUCAAGCAUCCCGAUCUGUUUUUCCCUUGGCCUGGGGAGAGAGUGUGCACACCGUUUGCAGUUCCUCCCUUUCUGUACACACAUAGGCUGCAGCUGUAGUAAACAAGCCCAGGCCAAGAGUUGCUAAGGUCAAGGUCUCAAAUGCUAUACCAGGACCAAUUUUCUCCCCAAU
ensembl:lncRNA